CUAAGAUAACAUUCUUCUAAAAGCGCUCACGUCCUGUGAGCAACGAAGAAGCCAAAACAUCCUGUUUA
rnacentral:sRNA from 1 species